rnacentral:lncRNA from 1 species
ACUGGUCUUGCUGCAUCGCAUCAAGAAAUUAUUUAUGCACCAUUCACGGUGUAGAAAAUCUAAUAUAGAGCACAUCACUUCAUCUUAUUAGAUCACAUAGUCACUACUUUUUAAUAUAUAUUUAAUAUCUGUAGUCACUACAACAAAACAAGUUAUAAGUGAUGAAAAUUUUUCGUCGCUAAUAACAUAUUUUCGUCGUUAAUA